rnacentral:lncRNA from 1 species
AAAAGAAAGAAAUGAUCAUGGAGAUCGUUUAAGGCUGACUUGGAUCAUUAUGAUUCUUUUCAACCAAAAUUAGAGAAGCAAAUAAGGAAUUGGAGGCUUUAAUCAACACUGUACAAGAUCAAGACCCUUUGGACUCUUGAUUGAUAACAAGGGAUACGAAUGUUUUAUGGAACUUGAAGACAUGAUUAACGAGUUAAGACCUACAAGGUGACGAGCUAUGAGGUGGUUGCCUAUGUCCCUCCCAAGAUAGACUAUGCAUGUUGUGGAAGCUUACGCCAAAUACCUUAGGGUAUACGGGGCACUCUCGGUGACCCCUACCGGUGACCCAAGUCCCCGCUCGGGAACACAGGCGCCAUCAACGCGGGGACCGAAUUCGGUAAUGCUGUGGAUAAGUAUCGUUGAAGGCUUUGGAUUUGAAGAUUAAGUGCUUGGGACGGACUACGAAUAUCACAUCAUGGAGAUGAGAUGUCAUUUUGUGUAGUAAUUGAUUAACGAACGUAAGGUUAUUAGAUUAUAUUUUUUAUAAAAGAUAAUGUUGAUGACGU